UGCGAUCCUCCUUUGCAAAUUACCUUUCUUUUGAUCCCCUUUUCCACCUUUGUUUUUGAUUUUGUACAGCACAGCGCGGUAUGCCGCCGAACCUCGAACUUAAAGGGCACUUAAUAAGAAUUUAAUACAUUUGAUAUUGAAUCCGUUUGAUGGCUUACUGCCUAGUCAAGGACACAGAAGCCACCUGUGGCCAUGGGCGAAUAAACCUCAGUUUCUACCUACAGGACCAACUCCCCCAAAGUUGAUAAGAAUGUCAGAGUUGAAAGGGACCUCUGAGACCAUCUGGUCCACUCAGACUUGAUCAGCCACCACUCUUACAACGUCUCUGGAACCAUCCAUUUCUUCUGGGAACCCAUGUACAUCAAGGAAUCAAUACAAUGAGGUGACAGAAGGAAAGCAGGAGCCAUUGCCAGUUAGAGAUGCAAAGCAGAAUUGGCCUAGCAAGGGAUCACGGUGUGGAAGAAUAACCUGGGCUUCUCCUUUCACUAGGACUUGUUUGGCACAUCCUAUAUGUCCUUGGCACAGAGCCAUGUUCUUGGACUCUUCUAUCCUUCCAGUCCUAAAGGUAUAAAACCCUGAUAUAUUCGUCAA
rnacentral:lncRNA from 1 species